rnacentral:rRNA from 1 species
ACGACGGAUGCAACCUNCAGCANNAAUGAUCGAUGGCCGAGAGGACCCGCGGUGUAAGCCAACACAGACAAGCGAACGGCAGCGACAGGAGAGCAGCACGUACUAGGGAGGCGAGUAGGCGGACGGGUAGAGGAAUACAUACGGAAACUAGCUAAAAACGGAGGGGGGACAAACGUAANCCGGAACACAUACGCAAGAGAANCCGCUAAACGAGUCUCAAGCUGGGAGAAAGUGCAUGUGGGAGUACNNUCGGAGCCANGCGCGAGUAUGAGANUUGAGUGCUCGAGUGACUGGGAGUAAAGUGGCAAGGGGUAGGGNCGGGGUGGUAAUAUGGGGCUCCACCUACNUGCGACGACAUCCGAU